CUGACUUCGGCCCUCCGUAGGACUAGAUCGCCUAACCUGACUGGUCUGGGUCGCACCUUUCUGUUGUAGACCCUUGCGACGGCUCUCUGGUGAGAGAGGGCCUUCAGGUGUGCGUCGGCGCGUCGCUCCUCGAGCACGUCGAGGCUGGCGCGGAGUCCCUGGUUCGAGGCCUCCUGUUCGUAGCUCCUUGUUCGAAGUGUGGCAACAGUCAUCUCGGGCGGUAGGACGGCCUC
rnacentral:lncRNA from 1 species